rnacentral:sRNA from 19 species
UAAGAACUUCGUUAGGUGAGGCUCCUGUAUGGAGAUACGCUGCUGCCCAAAAAUGUCCAAAGACGCCAAUGGGUCAACAGGAAUCAUCGACAUAAGGUGAUUCUUAACGCAGCUGGAUGGCUGUCCUAUGCCAUACAGUGCUAAAGCUCUACGAUUGGAGGCCCCG